UGCAGUCGAGCGGUAACAGGAGUAGCUUGCUACUCGCUGACGAGCGGCGGACGGGUGAGUAACGCGUAGGAAUCUGCCUAAUAGUUGGGGAUAGCCCGGGGAAACCCGGAUUAAUACCGAAUACGCUCUACGGAGGAAAGCAGGGGAUCUUCGGACCUUGCGCUAUUAGAUGAGCCUGCGUGAGAUUAGCUAGUUGGUGAGGUAAUGGCUCACCAAGGCGACGAUCUCUAGCUGGUCUGAGAGGAUGAUCAGCCACACUGGGACUGAGACACGGCCCAGACUCCUACGGGAGGCAGCAGUGGGGAAUAUUGCACAAUGGGCGCAAGCCUGAUGCAGCCAUGCCGCGUGUGUGAAGAAGGCCUUCGGGUUGUAAAGCACUUUCAGUAAGGAGGAAAGGUUAAGCGUUAAUAGCACUUAGCUGUGACGUUACUUACAGAAGAAGCACCGGCUAACUCCGUGCCAGCAGCCGCGGUAAUACGGAGGGUGCGAGCGUUAAUCGGAAUUACUGGGCGUAAAGCGUACGCAGGCGGUUUGUUAAGCGAGAUGUGAAAGCCCCGGGCUCAACCUGGGAACUGCAUUUCGAACUGGCAAACUAGAGUGUGAUAGAGGGUGGUAGAAUUUC
rnacentral:rRNA from 1 species